UAGCAACUGCGUCCCUCGGUUCGCGCUCUUGCAGACGAGUGUGUCGGACCUGCACGGUAGAGCGCAGCCGAGCCUUUACAGGUGAGCACGGACACACAAACCGACACCACGCAUAUUUGUCCAGCGUGACACAUGUAGGCACCCCCUUCCUCCCCCUCUCUCUGCCCUUCCCGUUGCCUCUCGUUCAUCAACCGUGAAAAUGGCAGCUUCCUUUGUGCCUCGGUUCCAGCUGAACACGUCGCGCAGCUCCGCCCGCAGUGGGGAUGGUUUCGCUUCGCGGCUCGACCGCACUACCGCCCCUUACGCGGCCUCUGCGCGUCACAGCGCAAACAAAGGCGCCGGCACAUACAAUGAUAGCGGCCGCCGGUACCCCCUCUUCAGCGCACUGAGUAGCAACAACAACACAUUCUUGACGAAUAACACGUCUGGCAGUGACUGGCUGAGGGAUGGCUACGCUGGCGGCCGAGACGCUGGCGCUGCCGCCGAACCGCUCUCGCCGACCCCACGCGUGAGCGAGGCGGCUGCUUGCCUUGGUGGCGGGUGGGCCGGCCCACACCAGCCCUACGCAGAUCCGCAGCUCGGCGGAAGUGAUGACGACGGUGGCCACCGCGAGGGCAGUGACAGCGGAGGCAGAGGUAUUCCUGGCCCGUCUGCUACUCGUCCACUCUUCACUUCCUCCAGCGCCUCGCUUCCACGAGACAGGAAUGUAAUAGCAGGUAACACCGGCCGCCUCACGUGGACGGACAGCGCAGGCGUGACCGGAGGCGAGGAGACAGCAGCAUGUUACUCCAGCUAUUGGCCACGGUCCGCUGGUACCGGCAGCACAUGUGGCCCUGGUCGCUGGGGGAAGCGCUCGAGUGACCCUGCGCCGUCGUCAACGGCUCGCCCCGCCUUCACCAGCACGCUUGUUGGCACCUCAUCUGGCGCUAUGUCGUUCAGCAGGCACGGCUACUGCGGCGGCGGCGUUGGCCUCUCGGAUGCCGAUUGGCGAGGAGCAAGGACAACGGCCGACGGUGCCUUCGACUGGGGCGCUGAUGUUCGAGGUGGAGGCACAGCUGGCCUUGUGAACAGUCGCUCCCGAGCGCGUGUCGACCGCUGGACCGACGAGGAGCCGUGCAGAGUAGCGAGGAGCAAAGAGAUGUCGAUCUGGAAUGACGCGCCGACGAUGGCGACCGACUCGUCCUCGAUCUCGCCUGAGGAGCGACCGCGAUCACAGCGGCAUCGACGCCGCCAACGCCACCAACGCGGGUCUCAUCAUGGGCGUAGCGGCGGCGGUGGCGGAGUGAACAGCAACGGCAGCCGCCAUGACAGAGCGCACGAUGACGACGAUGAUGACUUCGACAGCAUGAGGGAUGACGCUGAGGACGAUUCUCUGUCGUUUGCGGAGGCUAUCGUUAGCGCCAUGGAUGCGCAGCCAGUUGUCCCGCCGGGGCUUCUCCGAAAUUUGCAGGAGCCACCGUUCAUAUGGAAUCGACACCCCAGUCACGGUAUCGUCCUGUGUCUCCUGCAGCAUCGCGGCAUCUACCUCCCACGCUAUCGCGAGCUGGUGGAUUACCACAUGGCGGAGUUGUUCCUGCACUACCUCGAUCUUUGCCGCGAAGGCGCGUUCUUCAUCCACUACUCCGCCGGCAAGUGGCCCAAAGAGCGCUUUUUCCGCAUUCGCAUGCUGCCGGUAAAUCGUCUUGAGGCGGAAACGGAGCCGGUGCCGCACCUGGUCAUCACCCUCCACGAAAGCGGCGUUGACAUUCUCGACGCUAUCCCGCUCGAUGAACUCGUCGGCGUCACGGCGACGCCGCAGACCGCGUGCUUCCUGCCAUUUCUCGAGUCGCCGAAGACGAUCAUCGGCUGCCGUGAGGGCCGCGGCCACCGCGCCCGCUUGCCCGCGGAUGGCGCCUUCAGUCUCUGGUUCUACGACGUGGCGCAACACAAGCCUCGCAGCGUAGACAUCUUGACGUGCGAUGCAAAGGUGUUCGACAUCUGGACAAAGACUUUCCGAGGACUGGUGAGUGUGAACAGCUCCUCUAUUGUACAGGUGGCAUUGACGCCGCAGGGGGAGUCCGUGGAGUUGGCGGAGCUGACGCGGGCGGCUCAACAGCAGGGAGAGGUCGAGCGUCGCGAGCAGCGUGGGAGGUUGUCCUCCUCGUAGAAGGCGGCCGCGGCGAGGUGGUGUUGGUGCGAGGGAGCGCAACAUAAGGGGUACGACGAACAGAGGGGUGGGGAGAAGUGUGUGUGUCUCAUUGUCCCUGCAGGUGUGCCCCUCCCUCUCCCGUCCGACGGCGCCUUUUUGCCGAUCACCGCGGCGCCAGCUUGCAUGUGGGCGUAGACGGAUCCCUUAUGCGUCGGCCUCGCUUCACCGCUUCACCGCUCUGCAACG
rnacentral:misc_RNA from 1 species